AGAGGAGAGGAGAGGAGGUGGAGCAGCCAUCGCCUGGACGUGAGCGGUGAAUGGGCAGCGCGGGCGUCGAGCAGGAUCAUGGGGGAGCAGGGGAGGCCAGAGGCUGCUCACCAUAUACAUCGCCAUCCAUAGCCGCCCUCGUCCGCCAAGAAGUUGAGGAGGGAGGCUGACCUCCAGUGACCACUCUGCACCGCUCUGGACGACACCCUCCCCCACCAGAGAGAAAGUGCAAAAGCUAUGGGCAAUCCUAUAUGACUGGCGCCAUCAGUAAGGAUUUAUUUAAAGCUAGCUUACUUUUGGGUCUAAGCCAAGUUUAUUUCUUUCGCAGAUUUAUUCACCUUAUUGGGACGGUGGGGUUAAUAUAUAUACAUCAACUUUGAGCAUCAGCAACGCAUGAAGCUUGCUUCUGAGGCUGCAACAUACUUUGCAAUCCCCCUGUGAAACAUACUUUUGUCACUAUGCACAUAUGGUUAUUCGAACGAAUUGAUUUCGAUUAGACUAUCUUUUUCCUAAUUACUUGUUAUAUGAUGUUCUUUACUAUUCAGAGGUUGUUGAAGGGA